GUGGAGCGCCUGUUCUAAGACCUGUGGGAUGGGCAUCUCCACCCGGGUUACCAAUGACAAUACCUUCUGCAGGCUGGAGAAGCAGAGUCGUCUCUGCAUGGUCAGGCCCUGUGAAGCUGACCUAGAGGAAAACAUUAAGGUAAAUAAAUACUCUGCCCCCAGACACUCAUUUUCACAGAAUGACAGGAAAGAGAACCAGAGCUGGCUGUCUCGCCGCCCUUCUUAUUAUAGGCCUGUUGUCUCCAGAAAUAUCUAACCAUGGAGCUGUCUGGCUAGAAUGAGAGAUGCUGUAACAGCAGCUGCCAGUUUUCCACUACAAAAUUCCCCGGGGUGUUAGUUAAUACGAGACACUCCAAACGAAGCCAUGGCUAUUUUUGGAAAACUGGCGAAUGAAACUCCCAGUCUCUCUCCCCUCAGAAUAUAAACACAAGUCAGAUGACAUAGGGCUAGUCUACAGAGGGUUGAGGAAGGCCACUCCCGUUGUAGUAAUUGCGGUGUCUCUUCUCGUCUUCCCUUAGAAGGGCAAAAAGUGCAUCCGGACGCCUAAAAUUGCCAAGCCUGUCAAGUUUGAGCUUUCUGGCUGCACCAGUGUGAAGACCUACCGGGCUAAGUUCUGUGGGGUGUGCACGGACGGCCGCUGCUGCACACCGCACAGAACCACCACACUGCCGGUGGAGUUCAAGUGCCCCGAUGGCGAGAUCAUGAAAAAGAACAUGAUGUUCAUCAAGACCUGUGCCUGCCAUUACA
rnacentral:lncRNA from 1 species